UACAGGGGGGUGCAAACGUUGCUCGGAAUCAUUGGGCGUAAAGCGCACGUAGGCGGUUCGUUAUGUCGGAUGUGAAAGCCCUUGGCUUAACCGAGGAAGUGCAUCCGAAACUGGCGAGCUAGAGUACGAAAGAGGAUCGCGGAAUUCCCGGUGUAGAGGUGAAAUUCGUAGAUAUCGGGAGGAACACCGGUGGCGAAGGCGGCGAUCUGGGUCGAUACUGACGCUGAGGUGGCGAAAGCGUGGGGAGCAAACAGG
rnacentral:rRNA from 1 species